rnacentral:rRNA from 1 species
ACUCUGAUCAGCGACGCCGCGUGAGGGAUGAAGGCCUUCGGGUUGUAAACCUCUUUCAGCAGGGAAGAAGCGAAAGUGAAGGUACCUGCAGAAGAAGCACCGGCUAACUAUGUGCCAGCCGCCGCGAUAAUAGGCCACCAGCCCCGGUAUAAA